GACGAACGCUGGCGGCGUGCUUAACACAUGCAAGUCGAACGGAAAGGCCCUGCUUUUGUGGGGUGCUCGAGCGGCGAACGGGUGAGUAACACGUGAGUAACCUGCCCUUGACUUUGGGAUAACUUCAGGAAACUGGGGCUAAUACCGGAUAGGAGCUCCUGCUGCAUGGUGGGGGUUGGAAAGUUUCGGCGGUUGGGGAUGGACUCGGGGCUUAUCAGCUUGUUGGUGGGGUAGUGGCUUACCAAGGCUUUGACGGGUAGCCGGCCUGAGAGGGUGACCGGGCACAUGGGGACUGAGAUACGGCCCAGACGCGUACGGGAGGCAGCGGUGGGGAAUAUUGCACAAUGGGCGGAAGCCUGAUGCAGCAGCGCCGCGUGCGGGAUGACGGCCUUCGGGUUGUAAACCGCUUUCGCCUGUGACGAAGCGUGAGUGACGGUAAUGGGUAAAGAAGCACCGGCUAACUACGUG
rnacentral:rRNA from 1 species